UCUUACAACCCCAUCCAAUUAAAAUAAAUAACACAGAUUACAAGUAAGCAGAGCAAGGCCUACCAAACCACCAACCAUAAUGGUCAUAGAGCAUCAUCACCCAUACCCAAAUUGAAACAAAGUCCAAACUCCAAGCCAAGCCCCAGCAGGGACUAUUUACAAUGGCAGAAAGCAUGAUCCACCCAUCCCCCGUGUGUCAACAAGGACCUCGGGUCGUAAAGCACUUAAAAUUGGGAGGAAGGGCUUACAGCGAAUCCCUGUGAGUUUUGACGUUACCGACAGAAUAAGCACAGGCUAAAUUCGUGCCAGCAGCCGCGGUAAUACGAAGGGUGCAAGCGUUAAUCGGAAUUACUGGGCGUAAAGCGCGCGUAGGUGGCUUGAUAAGUUGGAUGUGAAAUCCCCGGGCUCAACCUGGGAACUGCAUCCAAAACUGUCUGGCUAGAGUGCGGUAGAGGGUAGUGGAAUUUCCAGUGUAGCGGUGAAAUGCGUAGAUAUUGGAAGGAACACCAGUGGCGAAGGCGACUACCUGGACUGACACUGACACUGAGGUGCGAAAGCGUGGGGAGCAAACAGG
rnacentral:rRNA from 1 species